AAUAAAUGCAGUUUUGUACUAUUCACGUUCAACGUUUGAUCAUUCGUUUUAUUUGAAAAUUUUUUAUGAUUAGUAUUUUUAUUGCUAUUAGAUGAUAAAACAUGAAUAGUACUUUAUGUAUGAUUAAAUAUUUUUAAAUUUUUCACAAAUUUUUUAAAUAAGACGGACGGUCAAACGUUGGGCACGCAUAUCCACGGCUGCACUUAUU
rfam:Oryza glaberrima chromosome 11 Oglab11_0193_7, whole genome shotgun sequence.